rnacentral:rRNA from 1 species
UCCGGUUGAUCCUGGCGGAGGUUACUGCUAUCGAGGUUCGACUAAGCCAUGCGAGUCGAAUGUAGCAAUACAUGGCGUACUGCUCAGUAACACGUGGAUAACCUACCCUUGAGACGGGGAUAAACCCGGGAAACUGGGUAUAAUACCCGAUAGAUCUCGACUGCUGGAAUGCAUCGAGCUUGAAAGCUCCGGCGCUCAAGGAUGGGUCUGCGGCCUAUCAGGUAGUAGUGGGUGUAGCGUACCUACUAGCCUACGACGGGUACGGGUUGUGAGAGCAAGAGCCCGGAGAUGGAUUCUGAGACACGAAUCCAGGCCCUACGGGGUGCAGCAGGCGCGAAAACUUUACAAUGCUGGAAACAGCGAUAAGGGGACCUCGAGUGCCAGGUUACAAAUCUGGCUGUCGUGAUGCCUAAAAAGCAUUGCAUAGCAAGGGCCAGGCAAGACCGGUGCCAGCCGCCGCGGUAACACCGGCGGCUCGAGUGGUAACCGUUAUUAUUGGGUCUAAAGGGUCUGUAGCCGGCCGGAUAAGUCUCUUGGGAAACCUGGCAGCUUAACUGUCAGGCUUUCAGGAGAUACUGUCUGGCUCGAGGCCGGGAGAGGUGAGAGGUACUUCAGGGGUAGGGGUGAAAUCUUGUAAUCCUUGAAGGACCACCAGUGGCGAAGGCGUCUCACCAGAACGGACCUGACGGCAAGGGAC